UUCCUUUCAAAAAUCUAUUAAAAUAUCGAGAAGAAAUUUUCCUGAAGAAUUCUGUAGUAAUCGUUCACGCCACACUUUAGAGGACUUCGGAUGAAGAUUCUCACUGAUUCUUCUCAGUGUAUAGUUGACCUUGGAGCCAAGCAGUUCUAGGACUAGAUACAGUAGUACAUACAGAAUGUUGCUCUUGUACAUAGUGUUCUCUCUCUCUAUUGGAGCAGUACAGAUGAACAAGGCAAUUGUAAGUUAUCUUGGAACUAACUUUAUUCUACCAGAUGGGUGCCCUUCAGCAGAUCCAGUUACUCAGAGGUAUACU